rnacentral:tRNA from 1 species
UGUCCAGGGCGGGAAUCGAACCCACGACCUUCCGCUUCCCGGGCAGAUGCCAUGUCCACUAGGCUACCCUGGAC